UACGUAGGGUGCGAGCGUUGUCCGGAAUUAUUGGGCGUAAAGAGCUCGUAGGCGGUCUGUCGCGUCGAUCGUGAAAACUUGGGGCUUAACCCUGAGCUUGCGGUCGAUACGGGCAUGACUGGAGUUCGGCAGGGGAGACUGGAAUUCCUGGUGUAGCGGUGAAAUGCGCAGAUAUCUGGAGGAACACCGGUGGCGAAGGCGGCGUCCUGGACCAACACUGACACUGAGGAGCGAAAGCCAGGGGAGCAAACGGG
rnacentral:rRNA from 1 species